AUUGAACGCUAGCGGCAGGCCUAACACAUGCAAGUCGAGCGAGCGGCGGACGGGUGAGUAAUGUAUGGGGAUCUGCCCGAUAGAGGGGGAUAACUAAUGGAAACGGUGGCUACUACCGCAUACUAUCGGAUGAACCCAUAGUGGAUUAGCUAGGAGGUGGGGUAAAGGCUAACCUAGGCGACGAUUGCUAGCUGGUCUGAGAGGAUGAACGGCCACACUGGGACUGAGACACGGCCCAGACUCCUCCGGGAGGCAGCAGUGGGGAAUAUUGCACAAUGGGCGAAAGCCUGAUGCAGCCAUGCCGCUUGUAUGAAGAAGGCCUUAGGAUUGUAAAGUACUUUCAGCGGGUAGGCGUUACCCGCAGAAGAAGCACCGGCUAACUCCGUGCCAGCCGCCGCGGUAAUUC
rnacentral:rRNA from 1 species